UGGACUACAAGGGUUUCUAAUCCCGUUUGAUACCCAUGCCUUCGUACCUCAGCGUCAGCAUCAAUCCAGAAAGUCGCAUUAACCACUCGGUUAUCCUCUCGAUAUCUAAAGAUUUUACUUUUACUUCAAGAAUAUAACUAACCUAUAUUGACCUCGAGCCUAUUAGUAUCAUAAUCAAUUUCUAAGUUAGGCUUAGCUUCUUUGAUUAAGACUUGAAAGGCCGCCUACGUACCCUUUACGCCCAGUUAUGAUGAAUAACGUUAGUCCCCCCCGUAUUACCGCGGCGGCUGGCAC
rnacentral:misc_RNA from 1 species